CCUACGGGAGGCAGCAGUAGGGAAUCUUCCACAAUGGGCGAAAGCCUGAUGGAGCAACGCCGCGUGGGUGAAGAAGGUCUUCGGAUCGUAAAACCCUGUUGUUAGAGAAGAAAGUGCGUGAGAGUAACUGUUCACGUUUCGACGGUAUCUAACCAGAAAGCCACGGCUAACUACGUGCCAGCAGCCGCGGUAAUACGUAGGUGGCAAGCGUUAUCCGGAUUGAUUGGGCGUAAAGGGAACGCAGGCGGUCUUUUAAGUCUUAUGUGAAAGCCUUCGGCUUAACCGGAGUAGUGCAUUGGAAACUGGGAGACUUGAGUGCAGAAGAGGAGAGUGGAACUCCAUGUGUAGCGGGGAAAUGCGUAGAUAUAUGGAAGAACACCAGUGGCGAAAGCGGCUCUCUGGUCUGUAACUGACGCUGAGGUUCGAAAGCGUGGGUAGCAAACAGGAUUAGAUACCCCUGUAGUC
rnacentral:rRNA from 1 species